GGUUAAGCGACUAAGCGUACACGGUGGAUGCCCUGGCAGUCAGAGGCGAUGAAGGACGUGCUAAUCUGCGAUAAGCGUCGGUAAGGUGAUAUGAACCGUUAUAACCGGCGAUUUCCGAAUGGGGAAACCCAGUGUGAUUCGUCACACUAUCAUUAACUGAAUCCAUAGGUUAAUGAGGCGAACCGGGGGAACUGAAACAUCUAAGUACCCCGAGGAAAAGAAAUCAACCGAGAUUCCCCCAGUAGCGGCGAGCGAACGGGGAGCAGCCCAGAGCCUGAAUCAGUGUGUGUGUUAGUGGAAGCGUCUGGAAAGGCGCGCGAUACAGGGUGACAGCCCCGUACACAAAAAUGCACAUACUGUGAGCUCGAUGAGUAGGGCGGGACACGUGGUAUCCUGUCUGAAUAUGGGGGGACCAUCCUCCAAGGCUAAAUACUCCUGACUGACCGAUAGUGAACCAGUACCGUGAGGGAAAGGCGAAAAGAACCCCGGCGAGGGGAGUGAAAAAGAACCUGAAACCGUGUACGUACAAGCAGUGGGAGCACAGAGCAAUCUGUGUGACUGCGUACCUUUUGUAUAAUGGGUCAGCGACUUAUAUUCUGUAGCAAGGUUAACCGAAUAGGGGAGCCGAAGGGAAACCGAGUCUUAACUGGGCGUUAAGUUGCAGGGUAUAGACCCGAAACCCGGUGAUCUAGCCAUGGGCAGGUUGAAGGUUGGGUAACACUAACUGGAGGACCGAACCGACUAAUGUUGAAAAAUUAGCGGAUGACUUGUGGCUGGGGGUGAAAGGCCAAUCAAACCGGGAGAUAGCUGGUUCUCCCCGAAAGCUAUUUAGGUAGCGCCUCGUGAAUUCAUCUCCGGGGGUAGAGCACUGUUUCGGCAAGGGGGUCAUCCCGACUUACCAACCCGAUGCAAACUGCGAAUACCGGAGAAUGUUAUCACGGGAGACACACGGCGGGUGCUAACGUCCGUCGUGAAGAGGGAAACAACCCAGACCGCCAGCUAAGGUCCCAAAGUCAUGGUUAAGUGGGAAACGAUGUGGGAAGGCCCAGACAGCCAGGAUGUUGGCUUAGAAGCAGCCAUCAUUUAAAGAAAGCGUAAUAGCUCACUGGUCGAGUCGGCCUGCGCGGAAGAUGUAACGGGGCUAAACCAUGCACCGAAGCUGCGGCAGCGACGCUUAUGCGUUGUUGGGUAGGGGAGCGUUCUGUAAGCCUGCGAAGGUGUGCUGUGAGGCAUGCUGGAGGUAUCAGAAGUGCGAAUGCUGACAUAAGUAACGAUAAAGCGGGUGAAAAGCCCGCUCGCCGGAAGACCAAGGGUUCCUGUCCAACGUUAAUCGGGGCAGGGUGAGUCGACCCCUAAGGCGAGGCCGAAAGGCGUAGUCGAUGGGAAACAGGUUAAUAUUCCUGUACUUGGUGUUACUGCGAAGGGGGGACGGAGAAGGCUAUGUUGGCCGGGCGACGGUUGUCCCGGUUUAAGCGUGUAGGCUGGUUUUCCAGGCAAAUCCGGAAAAUCAAGGCUGAGGCGUGAUGACGAGGCACUACGGUGCUGAAGCAACAAAUGCCCUGCUUCCAGGAAAAGCCUCUAAGCAUCAGGUAACAUCAAAUCGUACCCCAAACCGACACAGGUGGUCAGGUAGAGAAUACCAAGGCGCUUGAGAGAACUCGGGUGAAGGAACUAGGCAAAAUGGUGCCGUAACUUCGGGAGAAGGCACGCUGAUAUGUAGGUGAAGUCCCUCGCGGAUGGAGCUGAAAUCAGUCGAAGAUACCAGCUGGCUGCAACUGUUUAUUAAAAACACAGCACUGUGCAAACACGAAAGUGGACGUAUACGGUGUGACGCCUGCCCGGUGCCGGAAGGUUAAUUGAUGGGGUCAGCGCAAGCGAAGCUCUUGAUCGAAGCCCCGGUAAACGGCGGCCGUAACUAUAACGGUCCUAAGGUAGCGAAAUUCCUUGUCGGGUAAGUUCCGACCUGCACGAAUGGCGUAAUGAUGGCCAGAGGCUGUCUCCACCCGAGACUCAGUGAAAUUGAACUCGCUGUGAAGAUGCAGUGUACCCGCGGCAAGACGGAAAGACCCCGUGAACCUUUACUAUAGCUUGACACUGAACAUUGAGCCUUGAUGUGUAGGAUAGGUGGGAGGCUUUGAAGUGUGGACGCCAGUCUGCAUGGAGCCGACCUUGAAAUACCACCCUUUAAUGUUUGAUGUUCUAACGUUGACCCGUGAUCCGGGUUGCGGACAGUGUCUGGUGGGUAGUUUGACUGGGGCGGUCUCCUCCUAAAGAGUAACGGAGGAGCACGAAGGUUGGCUAAUCCUGGUCGGACAUCAGGAGGUUAGUGCAAUGGCAUAAGCCAGCUUGACUGCGAGCGUGACGGCGCGAGCAGGUGCGAAAGCAGGUCAUAGUGAUCCGGUGGUUCUGAAUGGAAGGGCCAUCGCUCAACGGAUAAAAGGUACUCCGGGGAUAACAGGCUGAUACCGCCCAAGAGUUCAUAUCGACGGCGGUGUUUGGCACCUCGAUGUCGGCUCAUCACAUCCUGGGGCUGAAGUAGGUCCCAAGGGUAUGGCUGUUCGCCAUUUAAAGUGGUACGCGAGCUGGGUUUAGAACGUCGUGAGACAGUUCGGUCCCUAUCUGCCGUGGGCGCUGGAGAACUGAGGGGGGCUGCUCCUAGUACGAGAGGACCGGAGUGGACGCAUCACUGGUGUUCGGGUUGUCAUGCCAAUGGCACUGCCCGGUAGCUAAAUGCGGAAGAGAUAAGUGCUGAAAGCAUCUAAGCACGAAACUUGCCCCGAGAUGAGUUCUCCCUGACUCCUUGAGAGUCCUGAAGGAACGUUGAAGACGACGACGUUGAUAGGCCGGGUGUGUAAGCGCAGCGAUGCGUUGAGCUAACCGGUACUAAUGAACCGUGGGGCUUAACCUU
rnacentral:rRNA from 1 species